rnacentral:rRNA from 1 species
UGGGGAAUAUUGCACAAUGGGCGCAAGCCUGAUGCAGCCAUGCCGCGUGUGUGAAGAAGGCCUUCGGGUUGUAAAGCACUUUCAGCGGGGAGGAAGGCGAUAAGGUUAAUAACCUUGUCGAUUGACGUUACCCGCAGAAGAAGCACCGGCUAACUCCGUGCCAGCAGCCGCGGUAAUACGGAGGGUGCAAGCGUUAAUCGGAAUUACUGGGCGUAAAGCGCACGCAGGCGGUCUGUCAAGUCGGAUGUGAAAUCCCCGGGCUUAACCUGGGAACUGCAUUCGAAACUGGCAGGCUAGAGUCUUGUAGAGGGGGGUAGAAUUCCAGGUGUAGCGGUGAAAUGCGUAGAGAGCUGGAGGAAUACCGGUGGCGAAGGCGGCCCCCUGGACAAAGACUGACGCUCAGGUGCGAAAGCGUGGGGAGCAAACAGG